GUCACGUGACGAGGAACUAGCCGUAGCCUUUCGGAAAUCCCUAAUUCUGGCAGGAUCUUGGUAACUUGGGAAACGGGCUGUUAGGAUGAGAAGCUUGGACUCCUCUCGUUUCCCCCUAAGACACUUUAGUCUGGGGCGGUCUCUGUGAUGCGGAAAUAGGUUCCCUUCUCACCAUGUCUGGCUGGCGGCGUCCCAGAUGCCAUGUGAUGGUCAUUUGAAGACAGGACUGCCGGAUAUCAGGUUUCAUCCAAUUUUGGUAUUUAUCUGAAUUGUUGAUGCUGGACACAGGAGAAACCCAAGUGAUCAUUAUGUUAUUAAGGUAUCAAAGCAGCUUACAUUAGUAUGAAACUUUUCAGAAAGUUCAUGAAAGAUGCUGAAUGUCAUGGAAGGCCCAAAGUCCACAUGAGGAGAGAAGAUGCCUGAGGACAAACAACUCCUAAUAAUAAUAAAUGCAGGAAAACAGGGGACCAUGAAGAUAGAAGGUGAGACCCAGCAUGAACUGGACAGAAUCCUUCACUGGCUUUGGCCUGGUUGGGUCCCAGGACAUGGUUCUAUCCCAAGAAUUCAGGCAUAUGAUCAUACCCUACCCAGCCCUCAUGUUUUCAUCCUCAGACCUUUCUGAGAUGAUGAGUUAUAAUUAUUUCUCAUCUGGCAAGAAGAUAUGGGAGACUCUCAAGUGCAAUGGAUGACUUUGGAGAAAAAAAAAAGACCUCAAGGGGUCAUGGAGGCCUGGGGGAACCACUGACCAGCCAGGGCGCUCUUCUGGCCCCCAAAAUAUCUGAUCGAAUUCUUCCAGGCGGGUCCAGGAUGUCAGCAGAGUGUAAAUACGUUUGAAAACCACCUCCAGGGCCCUAGGACAGCAUCAAAGGAAAUAAUCAACCAACCAAAUCCCUCCUGAUUUGGGACCCACUAGCCCCCACUCCAUUCUGACCUUCUCCUUACUCUGUCUUUGCUGUCCAUUCAUAGUCCAGCCUCUUGCCCUCAUGGAAUCUCAUGUCUGGGGGCAGAUCAUUCUUUGUGUCUGCAGCUAUUUUCAGGGGUAUCCCUUCCUUCCAGAUGCCCCGACUAGCGGAUGGGAAAGAGUUGAGGAAGAAAUAGGGUCAGGAAUGGAGCUGGAGAUAGGAAGAUGUGGAAAAAAUGGGAGGUAUAAGGGUGGGUGUUCACCGGUAGGUAUGCCUGUCUUUCCUCCAGUUCUUUCUUUCUAUGCUUCUGGAAGAUGUUCAAGGCAUUGUCUCCUGCCAGGCAAGCUAGGGAGAUGAUGGAUCACACAGUUUUGUCCAAACUGGUGCCAUUCUUGGUUUGUUCUCAUCUCUAUUCUUAAUUAUAUUACAGCAUGCUGUCACCUUUUUCUUUGGCUCCUCCUCCCCUGAUUUGUCUGUGACAUCCUUUAUCUAUUUUUAUUCACAUCUUAUUCCUGAUUUCCACCAAUCUCAGUGAAAAUUUUCCUAAAGCAAAUAUCCUAUGUUUACUAUACUUUCUUGUUCUUUAAUUCACAUUCAUCCUCCAGUCCCUACUCAUCAUUAUCUCUGAAUCCUCUACUUAAUCUCUUGUCAUGUCCACACUUAGCCUACAUAAUCACAUAUUACUUUGGUACAUUUAGCCAGUCCUGGCCUUUCCCUGUCCUCAUCUUCCCCUGUCUUCCAAAUGACAUAUACACUACCCUUCUCCACCUCCACCCUCACCUGUUCCUGAUUAAAAGAAUUUCUGUGCACAUUACUUUCAGCCUCUUAUCCUACCUAACAAAAGGUUCCAAGAGUCUAUCAGUCUCCCCAUCCCAUAAUUUAUAUAAACUUAAUUUGUUUCUGUUCUCACCUGUAUUUAACUUCACUUGUUCUUCAGAAGUACAUAGUCCAUGUUUCUAUUCUUACCAUGUCCAUAUCCCUAAUUGUGUCACGAUGUUUUUCUCCUUUUUUCCCAUGGUAACAAUUUCAGCAUUUGCUGUCCUCAUUCAUCCCCAUAUUCUACCGUGUCUCCACUUGUCACAGUUGAAUUCCCUGUUAUGCCACCCAAACCAGCUCUCCAACAUCGUUGUCAUUUGUUUCCAUAGCUGUGUCCUGCUCACAAGUUACUGACCACCUUAUUCCAUGGGCCCCUUACCUGCUGCUGCCCUAACAUAGAGGAAUCCUUUCUACUUUGUUUCUCUGUUUUCCUUCAUUGCUGCAUCUCCCACUCUCUAUCUUCACCUUUUUGGAAGACAGAAUCUCCAGAUCACUUAUCCCUCUCCAGCCUCACUCGCAGCAUCACUUAUUCUGGGUAAAACUUUGGGACUUCAUAACUUCUUCCCUUUUCCUGUCGUGCAUCCUGGAAUCCCUGCACUCCACGUGCCUCGGGGGUCCAUCCUUUCUCUAAGCACCACUGACCUUACUCAGUCCUUUUCAGCUCCUCUGCCCCCAGCAUUUCCUGAAGAGGCCUUGCUCCCACUUCCCCAACGCUGCCGGCUCACCAGUGCCCUCGGGCAGGCUCAGGACGCUCUUGCCUUGCACCCAGUAGUAGCACGGAAACGCGGUCACCGCCGAGGUUCCCGGACCCUGCACGGUGAUGCGAUCACAGAACCACGCGUCGUCCACCAAUGAGUGCUGUUUGCGCAACUUCACGAACUGCAGCGGCCCCAGAUCCUCUGGAGUGUCCAGAGCAAACUCCUCCUCCUGUGGGGGCCGGACUCGCCAGACUUAGCGAAGGACCUGAGAAGCCUUUAUGAGGGCAGAAUGGGCCCUUGGUGGAACUUCAGUUUAUCAGGGCCUCGGAAGACAGCGUGCACCUCCCUUCCUCCUCUGCUUGACCUGUCCCAGGGGUCUCUGUUAGGCUCCAUUUCAGCGCGAGCAAGCGGGGGCCCCGCAGUGCGUUGCAAGCAGUGACUUGAACUGACGACGGAGCAUCAUCCUUCACUGAGCUGUCACCGGGAUCAUGCUUGCAGGAGCUUCAAGGCUGACCACUGGUGGCAUAGUUACACUGACUCUGGGGUCUUUUGGAGAUGGAGUUGGAGGCCGCCAGGACCAGGGUCGGAGAAAUGAAGAAGGGGGUUGAGCCUAAUCCGGAAUUAUGACUCUACCCGCUUCUCCGCGAACCCCCUUUCUCCCUACGCUGCGGGAGUACCAGCCCGGGCUGUCCCGCUGGAACUCUCCCCCAGUCUCCUGCUGUUCGCCCACAUCGCUCUGUAAUCCUAGCCUGGCUGAUGGCGGGUAUCCCGGCUCCCACCCACUGACCUAGCCCGGCCUGGGUCGCAGCUGCAGCUCCAGCUCUGCCUCCCGCUGAGCCCCCACCAGUCACAGCUGCAUGCGGUUCUGCGACCCUGAGAAAACCCAGACCCCCACCAGGAUGCGCUAGCGGCUCCUGGCGCCCCCUGCCUGCUACCUCUAUAAUAGCUGUUAAUAAGCCUUGGGAAAGGUCUAGGGGACCUGCUUUUGAUGCUUUGCCUGAAGGACCAGCCCCCAGCUUAAUAAAUCAGGAUU